UGAGCAGAACGGCGCGGGGCGGGCACUCUCCCAGGCUCGGCCUUAUUGCCCCCCGGCCCGGCGGCGCGCGGUCUGGCAUCGCGCGUGGCCCUCGGAGGCCCGGAGCGAGGAGGCACCGAGCGCAGUGGCGGCGCAGGGUGGGCCCACGCCGCCACCCCCGUGCGCGGCCUGUCCAGAGGGCAGAGAGAACGGGUGCGGCCAGAUCCGACGGGCAGUGGACUUGAGCCCUACCGGCGGGCUCCGUACUGUCUGGGCCUCUCUGUCGCCCGGGCCGCCAUAUUCGCCGAGGCCCCAGGCCCCCCAGGGGCGGCUUCCUGCUGCCCGGCCGGUUCUGUUGGCUUGCGCUCUUCAGAACUCUGGCUUUUGACAGAGCCCCGCUUUGGGGCAGUACUAUUCUCCGACCCUUACCGAGCUCAUCGACUUUCUUUGGGCAGUUAAAAUGAACAAGUCUGUUUCCUUGCUUCCGGACACCCCCAUCCACCCCCCCCCCCCACCCUUGGGUGCCGGCUCACCACGUGUUCUCUCCCGCGUCUAGGAUGUGAGACUCUUGAAAGUCCUCACUUUCCCAGCCUGGGUUCCAUUCUAAGCCAUUUGAACCUUCUUGCUUUUAAAGUUUUAACAUCUGAACGCCUCGCCCUUGAUACAUCCUCUUUUCCCCAAGUCUGAAGUCUGCAUUAAGACAUGGAGGGAGAAGAACCAGGUUUUGGAAAAUCAAGCAACUUGAAAAACAACCAAAAAUAGAACCAGGACUAGAACACCGGUGUUUAGAGCUCAGCUCUUCAUUAUGAGCAACAAAUCAUUACUAUUAGGCUGGCAGACAUUUGUCACCCACUUGAUUUUCUCUUGCCUUGCAAUCAUAUGUCUGAGGAAUAAAACUUUUACCUAGUCAUAAACUUACUGUUAAAAUCAGUUUGGGAUUAUUUAUAGCACAAUGAUACGGUAGAAAAAUGGGUUUGGUUUCAUACCCAUGAACCAAACUUGUUUUGUCACAUUGAGCAAGUCACUCUACUUUUGGAGGCCUCCUUGAAAAAGAGUCAGGCUGCAUUAAAAAAAGUUCUUACAGGCUUCAGUAUCCUUUUACUCGUAUGCUCUCACUUUAGCCAGCUGACUCUAUGAAAUGCCCUAAAGUCACAUUUUUAAAAACUUGAGAGUCAGAACUAAGAAGGUUUAACUGACUUCACCAAAGCCUUAAUAACCAGUGAAGUAGUUGUGGCCAUUAGAGUUGAGGGCAUUGACUCCUGAUCCAGUGCUCUUACUUGAACCUUAGAUCUUGAGUCAUAGAAUUGAGAACUGGGAGCAAUGUAGAGACAUCCAGUGUUCAUCAUCUUGGGGUUGUAUUCUCUUGGAACAUCAAUUUCACUUGAAAAUUAGGGAGAGAAGCAAUUUUCCUGUAUUACACUUGCAUGUGUACUUUGUAAAAUUUUAAAGUCAGGUGAUUUUUAAAGAUAGUGGUUGCUGCAAAUCUUCAUUUUCUGCCUUUGCUCCCAGGUCCCUGGGUUAUGAUCCUUGCCACUUAAGUUCUAACAUGUUUUCAUAAACUUUUAUUGUAGAUUUAUAGUAUUUUAUAGGAGUAUUCUGUGGUUUAGUAACUGGCAGUUUGCCACCCAAGGACAAAGUUUGUUGACAUUACACUUAUUAGUGGAGAAAAAUGAUUUGGUGCUGGGUUUCUUGGGUGACAGGAGUUAAAGCAGUGGUUCAUAAAUUUUUAGAAAAAUUAGACUGCUGCUGCUUGUUUUUGGUCACAAAAUGAUUAUAAUUCUUUGCAUCUAUGUCACAGUGGUCUUUAGGACUUUAUUGUAUGUAUUAUGUAGCUAAGCAUUUUAUUUCAGUGAUGGAGCCUGGAGGAAGAGGACCGCAAAUGAUGAUGAGGAACAUGCAAGGAGACAGGUUGAUGGACUGGGUGAACGCUGUUUUUAGAGUCUCAGGUUUAUGUGUUUAAGGCUGAGAUGUUAGAUGAUAUGCCAGAGGCACACAUUAAGUGGCUGAGCCACCUGCCAUUUCAUUGCUCCUUUAAGAUCCAAACUUUUCAGUUUUUCCUUCCCUAACUGCUGAAAAGUCCUGAAGAAACGGACUGGCUACCACAGUAAAUGCAUUUAUGUUGCUUUGCUGUCACUGCAGUUAAAAUGACCCUGCAUAGCUUAGUGCUUAUUGAAUGAAGCACAUGGCAUUUCAGGCUUUGGACAAGGCAGGCACAGUAGCAUUAAGCAUGUUUCUGGGAAAGACCUGAGCAACCCCAGUCCUAACCCUUAGAGAAGAAGCACAGUCUACUUAUGUUACGAUAUAAUGCUCUGUCCUAAGGUCUCUCCAGUGUUUAGACUUAAAAAGAGUAAGGUUUGCAUAUUAGAUCUUAUUGGCAGAAAUAAAUUAAGAUUUAUUUUUGAUGUACAUACUGUAUGUAAUUACAUGUAAAAUGCACACAUUUUAUUCAUUGUUACCCAUGAAACUUGAGCAUUUGCCAGAGUAAGGGACAGCUAAAAUAGGCCAAGAAAUGGUGGCAUAGGAGACCAAUUGCAGAAUGAAACUUGAAACUUUGCCAUUAUUUUCAGUGACUAGAGGUCAGUAUUUCUCAAAAAUAGGUUUCCAACUAUUAGUGGAUUGUGAAAUAGAUUUAGUGGAUUGUGAUAGCAUUACAGAAAUGGCAUAGAUAAUAUAGAGUGUAUUUUGCACAGUAAAGUUUAAGUUUUUUGGUGAAAUUUGUUUCAGCUGUAUACACACAUGUUUUUAUGAGUGUGGAUGUAUGUAAACUCUUCUUACUCUGGGAUCUCAGCCUAAAAAGUCAGUGCUUAAUUGAUCAAAAUCAGACUUCUCAUCACCUGGUGGUGCUUUUUCUCUCUGUCUUCACAUCUGUACCAUGCCUUGCUUUUAUGAAUCAUGCACAUGCAGAUUCUCACUCAGCCUUCCGAUUGCCUUCUAGAUCAAACACGGCUUUCUUGAGACUGUUGUUGGCAUUUAUUGCUUAUCUCAGCCAGCCCUUCACACUGGCAAAGACUCUGUAGUCUAAGUAAUAGACCCUAUCCUUUUGGUCUUCAUUCCUGGUACCUUCUGGAGCUCAGAUUUUCUUCUCUCUUUUUCCCCCCCCUGCUUCGUGUGGCUUGUUGGAUGUUAGUUCCCUGACCAGGGAUUGAACUGGAGCCCAGCAGUGAAAGUGCCCGAGUCCUCACCAUGGAACCACCAGGAAAUUCCCUGAAACUCAGAUUUUCUGAUUACAGAUAGAUGAACUAAAUUUUUAGCCUAACUUUUCCAUUACUUUAUAUAUUUACACAUGUCAUUAACAUGCACAUGACAUGAAACAAAGCAGUAUGACUAAGACA